rnacentral:lncRNA from 1 species
UUAACAGAACUUUGAGCAUACAAACUAGAAAUGGGCUUACUGACAGAUCUUCAAGACUAUUUCUCAUAGGAUGCCUGCAGACUUACUCUACUCAACUCCGGGUGACUACAGGGAGAACAGGAUCAAGCUUUGCUGAAUGUUUCUGCUUGUCCCUGCUGUAAUUCAGGUGAAAUUGGAGACAUUAUGAGAUGCAUCUGAAAAUGGGUGGGACCUUGAUUACAAGGAUUUAUUGUAAUUAACUCUGAUUUUAGUAUACUCUGUAAUGCCUUUUUGAGCACUAAAAAUUAAAAUAUGAUUGAAAAGCCUUUUUGGAAUCCAGAGUGCCUGUUCAAAUUUUAAUUGGAAAGUUAGGAAAAGCAAGGUGUUUGCAAAGCUGAUGUGUUCAGAUAUAUGAGGUUCAAGUUAAGUAAUAGCUGAAAUAAUCUAUUACAUAAUGAAACUAUACGGAAAACCAGGCUUGUCCCUCUGAGCAUUAAAAAGCAGAGACAAACCAGUGAAGAAUAAAUACCUCAC